rnacentral:rRNA from 1 species
AGCCUGAUGCAGCCAUGCCGCGUGUGUGAAGAAGGCCUUCGGGUUGUAAAGCACUUUCAGUCAGGAGGAAAGCGUGGUGGUUAAUACCCAUCAUGUGUGACGUUACUGACAGAAGAAGCACCGGCUAACUCCGUGCCAGCAGCCGCGGUAAU